rnacentral:rRNA from 1 species
UACGUAGGGUGCAAGCGUUAAUCGGAAUUACUGGGCGUAAAGCGUGCGCAGGCGGUGAUGUAAGACAGAUGUGAAAUCCCCGGGCUCAACCUGGGAACUGCAUUUGUGACUGCAUCGCUGGAGUGCGGCAGAGGGGGAUGGAAUUCCGCGUGUAGCAGUGAAAUGCGUAGAUAUGCGGAGGAACACCGGUGGCGAAGGCGGCAUCCUGGACCGGUAUUGACGCUGAGGCGCGAAAGCCAGGGGAGCAAACGGG